GUAGGCCUUUAUCGAAGCUGUAACAUACUUAUCCAUGUGUGUUUUAGUCAAAGUAUGGCCGAGAGUAAAUCCUUUCUUUGGUCACUGAUUAAGUUGUUAAAUAUUUCUUCAGUAUUACCCAGACAGGAUACAGCU